ACUAUUUUGGCAGAUUUAAGUGCAACAGAUUUAGAAUCUGUUAAUAUGAUUAAUUAUCAUAGAUAGUA
rnacentral:tRNA from 4 species